rnacentral:rRNA from 1 species
CCUACGGGAGGCUGCAGUGGGGGAUAUUGCACAAUGGGGGAAACCCUGAUGCAGCGACGCCGCGUGAGUGAAGAAGUAUUUCGGUAUGUAAAGCGCUAUCAGCAGGGAAGAAAAUGACAGUACCUGACUAAUAAGCGCCUGCUAACUACGUGCCAGCAGCCGCGGUAAUACGUCGGGGGCAAGCGUUAUCCGGAUUUACUGGGUGUAAAGGGAGCGUAGACGGUUAGGUAAGUCUGGAGGGAAAGCUCGGGGCCGAACCCCGGGACGGCUUUGGAAACUGUGUAACUGGAGUACAGGAGGGGCAGGCGGAAUUCCUGGUGUAGCGGUGAAAUGCGUAGAUAUCAGGAGGAACACCGACGGCGAAGGCGGCCUGCUGGACUGAAACUGACGUUGAGGCUCGAAAGCGUGGGGAGCAAACAGGAUUAGAUACCCCUGUAGUC